UGGCGGCGUGCCUACACAUGCAAGUCGAGCGCGAAUAGGGGCAACCCUUAGUAGAUCGGCGCACGGGUGCGUAACACGUGGAUAAUCUGCCUGUAUUGCUCGGGAUAACCAGUCGAAAGAUUGGCUAAUACCGGAUAAGCCCACGGUUUCUUCGGAGACUGAGGGAAAAGGUGGCCUCUGUAUACAAGCUAUCACAUUCAGAUGAGUCCGCGGCCCAUCAGCUAGUUGGCGGGGUAAUGGCCCACCAAGGCAACGACGGGUAGCUGGUCUGAGAGGACGAUCAGCCACACUGGAACUGAGACACGGUCCAGACUCCUACGGGAGGCAGCAGUGGGGAAUUUUGCGCAAUGGGCGAAAGCCUGACGCAGCAACGCCGCGUGUGUGAUGAAGGUCUUUGGAUUGUAAAGCACUUUCGACCGGGAAGAAAACCCGUUGGCUAACAUCCAACGGCUUGACGGUACCGGGAGAAGAAGCACCGGCUAACUCUGUGCCAGCAGCCGCGGUAAUACAGAGGGUGCAAGCGUUGUUCGGAAUUAUUGGGCGUAAAGCGCGUGUAGNCGGCGUGACAAGUCGGGUGUGAANCCCCUCAGCUCAACUGAGGAAGUGCGCCCAAACUGUUGUGCUUGANUG
rnacentral:rRNA from 1 species